GUCGGUUCACGAGGACAAGGAAGUAGAUCUAGGUGUCGAGAUAAAAAAAAACUGGCUUUAACUCAGCCUGGCACAAUUUCAGUGCUCGUUUGUUCUAUGCUUUUCAUGCAGAAUUCAAAUAUGUCAAAAACUCAAAUCUAAAAAGCCAUCGGAGUUUCUCUUUAAAAAAUGACUGAACUCAAAACAGGAUAUACAAAAAAAAAGUUGCCAACUAAAUGCUUCAAAGUUUGACCUACUUCAAUAGAAGUGCUAUGCGUGAAGUCUGCCCUUCAACACAAGUCACAUCAACUCUCUGCAGCGCAUGAACAUAGCACUGCCAAAUCUGGGCUGGACGGGACAGGAAUGGAUCAAUAUAGGCACAUAAAAAGAAACGUUUGAUUUGAGGUGAGGCACCCACAGCAACCUGGGCAAAGAAACAGAUGAAUGUUUAGCAAUACAACAUAAAUAUAUGUUUUAAAACAUGAGAUUCAUGUCAUUGAAUGUACUAAAAAGAAAUUGUAAAAUAUUUUCCCAUAAAUUAAAAAAAGACAUCUUAAUUAACUGAGCAUCUAGCAAUAGAAAUUACAUUUGAGUAGAGAACAAGCAUUAUUUUUAAAAAAUACAUUUUCAAAAACAAAGCUUAUAUAUCAGUGUCAUAUCUCUCAAUAGUGCAAAGUUCAUCUCUAGAAAGCAAAGUUAAUUAAUUACCACUAAAUAUUUAACUAAUUGGUUAAUAUUUUUAUUGAUUCUUGUAUUGUCUUUGACUAUGAAUAAUUUUGCACAAAUUCAACUUGAUCUGAGAACAGGAAAUGGGAGAAAAAACUUGUAAAGAUUCAUUCUAGACAAACAGACAGACGGAGUGAAUUAAUAUCAGCUUUGUAAAAACAUUGCACAAUUUAAAUAGAAAAUGAAAUCUAAAUCUAUCUAUGCAUUCAUCUUUGUUCUCACGUCCUAUUACAAACUCAUCCCUUUCAUUUUGAAGAUAAAUUAUAAACAUUUAUUAACCGAUCUUACACAUUAACCCAACUAUCUAGCACUCUGAAAACAAAAAUAUAAAUUUUAUUUAGACAAUCUUGUAGUAACACCAUCAUCCUUUUCUAUGAUAAACAACACUUUGUGACAUACUGCAUUACCCUCCUCCUGUGUAACACUGUUUUUAAAGAUUGGUAACUAGCAUAAUAAUUUUCUCAUAUUUUUUUACCUUUUAUUGUAAAAAGCAGACAUGCAAAUACCAGCAAGAUGUCUAACAAUAACUUUGAAAUUAAACAAUUUUAGUUUAUUAAGCCAUUAUUUUCAAGGGGAAAAAACAGAAGAAAGAUCCAAAUAUAUUAUCACUAUUUUUUUUUUUUUGGCUUUUGUUGAAACAUGCAUUGGAAUUCACUUGGAUUCAUAAUUAAAGACCAACAAUAAAUCAAGAUCAAGUAUCUUGUGAAAUGAGUGUUGUUUUUUUUUCACUUUUAACUCUUCAAGACCGCAAUGACGCUGACAGCGACCAGUCUCCCGGCCGUGCUAACAUAAUGACGCUUCCAGUGUCCAAUCACUAUUUCCCUAUUUACUUCUUUUUCUUUUCUAAUCCACGUUUUUAAUCCCUUAAAUGGUUUAAGGAAACGCUAGAGCUGCCAUUUUGAAAGUUUUUUCAUUCUGAUACUUUGUUGAUCUAAGCUGUUUUUAUUGUUCUAAAUAUUUUUUUUUGUAAGUGACUAGUGAAUUUUUUGUUUUUUUGCAUCAGACAUCAUGGCUGACAGGCCUUCUUGCCAUUUUACUGCUGAUCAGGCUCUAAAUAUCUUUUUAGAUACGAAUGAUAGUGACAUGAGUGACUUAGACUUAGAUAGAGAUUCUAGAGCUAGAAAGUUAUAAUGAAAGCGAUUUUCAGACUCAAGCGAGUCUGAGAGUGAAUUAUUCAUCCCUAGAUCUAGUAAAAGUAGUAAACGAAAGGGGGCAUCGCCCCAGCCAGGCCCUAGUAGAUCUAGAAAGAAACCUCACUAAAAGUGUAAAUAUUGAUCAAGUUUGACAAAGUUAUGUUUUUUAAAUAGAUAAUUGGAUAGAGUUUAAUAUUUCAUACAAUAAUUAUGAUUGAGGACUGUUGGAAUAUUCUUUUUUACUUGGGAAAGUCCAUUUUUAAAGAUCAAAUUAAAAAAAAAAAAUUUUUUCAUCUCUGAAAUUACCUAAUUUUUUUUCCAGUGACUAUCUAUAACAUUGAAAGAUAAAUUAUCCUGUAGUACAUUCAAUUUCCAACAAAAUUUUAUAUAACAUGUCUAUGUUUUAACAAACAGAAAAAACAGUAUGACGUU